CCCCUGUGAACAUACCUUAAUGUUGCCUCGGCGGAUCAGCCCGCGCCCCGUAAAACGGGACGGCCCGCCAGAGGACCCAAACUCUAAUGUUUCUUAUUGUAACUUCUGAGUAAAACAAACAAAUAAAUCAAAACUUUCAACAACGGAUCUCUUGGUUCUGGCAUCGAUGAAGAACGCAGCAAAAUGCGAUAAGUAAUGUGAAUUGCAAAAUUCAGUGAAUCAUCGAAUCUUUGAACGCACAUUGCGCCCGCUGGUAUUCCGGCGGGCAUGCCUGUUCGAGCGUCAUUUCAACCCUCAAGCCCCCGGGUUUGGUGUUGGGGAUCGGCUCUGCCCUUCUGGGCGGUGCCGCCCCCGAAAUACAUUGGCGGUCUCGCUGCAGCCUCCAUUGCCUAGUAGCUAACACCUCGCAACUGGAACGCGGCGCGGCCAUGCCGUAAAACCCCAACUUCUGAAUGUUGACCUCGGAUCAGGUAGGAAUACCCGCUGAACUUAA
rnacentral:rRNA from 1 species